UUCUAACGUAGACCCGUAAUCCGGGUUGCGGACAGUGUCUGGUGGGUAGUUUGACUGGGGCGGUCUCCUCCCAAAGAGUAACGGAGGAGCACGAAGGUUAGCUAAUCCUGGUCGGACAUCAGGAGGUUAGUGCAAUGGCAUAAGCUAGCUUGACUGCGAGAGUGACGGCUCGAGCAGGUGCGAAAGCAGGUCAUAGUGAUCCGGUGGUUCUGAAUGGAAGGGCCAUCGCUCAACGGAUAAAAGGUACUCCGGGGAUAACAGGCUGAUACCGCCCAAGAGUUCAUAUCGACGGCGGUGUUUGGCACCUCGAUGUCGGCUCAUCACAUCCUGGGGCUGAAGUAGGUCCCAAGGGUAUGGCUGUUCGCCAUUUAAAGUGGUACGCGAGCUGGGUUUAGAACGUCGUGAGACAGUUCGGUCCCUAUCUGCCGUGGGCGCUGGAGAAUUGAGGGGGGCUGCUCCUAGUACGAGAGGACCGGAGUGGACGCAUCACUGGUGUUCGGGUUGUCAUGCCAAUGGCACUGCCCGGUAGCUAAAUGCGGAAAAGAUAAGUGCUGAAAGCAUCUAAGCACGAAACUUGCCCCGAGAUGAGUUCUCCCUGAGACUUUAAGUCUCCUGAAGGAACGUUGAAGACGACGACGUUGAUAGGUCGGGUGUGUAAGCGCAGCGAUGCGUUGAGCUAACCGAUACUAAUGAACCGUGAGG
rnacentral:rRNA from 1 species